rnacentral:rRNA from 1 species
ACGAACGUUAGCGGCGCGCCUAACACAUGCAAGUCGCACGAGAAAGGGAUUCGUCCCCGGUACAGUGGCGCACGGGUGAGUAACACGUAGAUAAUCUUCCCUCGAGUGGUGGAUAACUCUCCGAAAGGAGAGCUAAUACAGCAUAAGACCACGGCCUUACAUAGGCUGCGGUCAAAGCAGGCCUCUACACGUAAGCUUGCGCUUGAGGAUGAGUCUGCGGCCCAUCAGCUAGUUGGUAGGGUAAUGGCCUACCAAGGCGAGGACGGGUAGCUGGUCUGAGAGGAUGAACAGCCACACUGGAACUGAGACACGGUCCAGACUCCUACGGGAGGCAGCAGUGGGGAAUCUUGCGCAAUGGGCGAAAGCCUGACGCAGCGACGCCGCGUGAGCGAUGAAGGCCUUCGGGUUGUAAAGCUCUGUGGGGAGGAAAGAAUAAGGUUUGGCUAAUAUCCAAGCUGAUGACGGUACCUCCUUAGCAAGCACCGGCUAACUCUGUGCCAGCAGCCGCGGUAAGACAGAGGGUGCAAACGUUGUUCGGAAUUACUGGGCGUAAAGCGCGUGUAGGCGGCUUUGCAAGUCGGGUGUGAAAUCCCACGGCUCAACCGUGGAAGUGCAUUCGAAACUGCAAGGCUAGAGUUCUGGAGAGGAAGGUGGAAUGCUUGGUGUAGAGGUGAAAUUCGUAGAUAUCAAGCGGAACACCGGUGGCGAAGGCGGCCUUCUGGACAGUAACUGACGCUGAGACGCGAAAGCGUGGGGAGCAAACAGGAUUAGAUACCCUGGUAGUCCACGCCGUAAACGAUGAGUGCUAGGUGUCACGGGCUUUGACCCUCGUGGUGCCGAAGCUAACGCGUUAAGCACUCCGCCUGGGGAGUACGGUCGCAAGACUAAAACUCAAAGAAAUUGACGGGGGCCCGCACAAGCGGUGGAGCAUGUUGUUUAAUUCGACGCAACGCGAAGAACCUUACCUGGGCUAGAAAGUACUGGAAGUCCGUCGAAAGGUGGAUGUGUCCUUCGGGAAACCAGUGUUAGGUGCUGCAUGGCUGUCGUCAGCUCGUGUCGUGAGAUGUUGGGUUAAGUCCCGCAACGAGCGCAAACCCCUGUUGUUAGUUGCCAGCAUUCAGUUGGGCACUCUAACAAGACUGCCGACCUUUAAGUCGGAGGAAGGUGGGGAUGACGUCAAGUCAUCAUGGCCUUAUGUCCAGGGCUACAAACGUGCUACAAUGGUCGAUACAAAGGGUUGCGAACUCGCGAGAGGGAGCCAAUCUCAAAAAGUCGACCUCAGUACAGAUAGGAGUCUGCAACUCGACUCCUUGAAGUCGGAAUCGCUAGUAAUCGCUGAUCAGCAUGGCAGCGGUGAAUACGUUCCCGGGCCUUGUACACACCGCCCGUCACACCAUGGGAGUCGAUUUCUCCAGAAGUACCUGAGCCAACCGCAAGGAGGCAGGGUCCCAAGGAGUGAUCGGUAACUGGGGUG